CAAAAUUUCUUCUCUCUCUUUCUUAACCUCUUCUUAGUUUACAUGGUCUAAUGAGUGUUGGUUCUAAACGAUCCUAGCUCAAUAGUCUUUCAAAUAUUCUUCUUGUUUCUCUCUCUUGAUAUUUUUUUGGUUGCGUGGUAUCAAGAGUCUAUAAUCCCAACCAACCUAGAUUAUAAGCCUCUCAAAAUAAAAUCGCGUUGAAAGUUCUUAGGAGAAAGCAAAAUGAACAUGAAGUUUAAUUUUUAUCUUGAGGAGCUUUUGUCACCCCCUUUCGUGUUGUCCAAGUGAACCUCUAUGCAAAUUCUAUCAUUUGACUCUUCUGCUCUUAACAGAAUUUUAUUCCCCUUGGCCUCUCCUCCUCAACAUCAAGAAUAGGCGGGGGUAAGUUGAGGUCUAUACCAUCCUUGGUUUUAUGUGACAUAAGGAAUUAAUAUGAAAACGAGGCAUUGUACCUGCGUUCACUAUGAGUAGAUUGAGUUAACAUAAUCGAGCAUGUUUUGAUUAAUUAAACUUCUUAUAAUCAUUUUGUCAUCACAUUUAUUAGCAAAGUAUGUAUGUAAUUUAUGACUCCUCGACUUAACCUUUCCUAUAUAUCACCUUGUUUCUAGCCAGGAUCCUCAUAUACAGAUGAUGUUGUUUCAGUUUGUGGUAAUAUUUCAUGUAACUAGUGCAUCUGUGAACAUCUUACCGGAGAUGACAAGCAUUUCCUUUCUCCAAAUUUCAAUGGUAAUUGAACACAACAUCCGUGUUUUCCAAGGCCACAUAAUAUUGAACCAUUCUUUUUCCAACCAAGAUUGGUAAAACUCACCUAGGAGCUCUGAUUCUGAUGGGGAUGAAUUGGAGCCUUGGUAUAUAUAUCAAAGUUAGUCAUAUGACUCUUCAAAAUUGAAGGUUGCGCUUGAGGUUUUGAAAUCAUUAUUUAAGCCACAAUGUUAUACAUCAUAAGUUAUUUUUACCUAUGCAUAGCAUUGUGUCUUAUAUAAUGAUUUCAAAACUUUAAGCGCAACCUUUAUUUUGGAAGAAUCAUAUGAAUGAUUUUGAGACCAAGAUUCAAAUAAUUCUUCUACAUCAGAAUUAGUGCAACUUGGUGAAUUAUCACAAUCCUAGUUCGAAAAACAAAUGCUCAGUGUGGUUUUGGAAAACACUGAAGUUGUGUUCAAUUGAUCUUUGAGAUUUAUAUCAGUGUACUACUUGUCAUCGUCGGUAAAAAAACAUUCACAAAAGCACUUUGUUACAAAAAAUUGAUCAAAAAUUGAAACAACGACAUUUACUUGAGGAUUCUGUCCAGAAACAAGGUGAAAGGAAAUGUAGAGUAGAUCAUGAUUGAGGGAAUACAACUAUACUUUGCUAAUAAAUGUGAUAAAUGAGUAUGGUGAGUUUAAUUAAUCACAACUUACUCACUUAUUUAAACGCAAUCUACUAUGUACAUGUCUCGUUUUCAUAUCCAACUUCUUAAAUCAAAAAAAAUCAUCGAUGGUAUUGACCUCAAUUAGUCCCCACCCAAACUUGAUGCAAUGGAGGAGACGAGACCAAGGAGAAAAAGAUUCACAACAAGUAGAAGAAUCCAAAGGUGUAAUUUUCCUAGAGGUUCAAUUCGACAACUUGAAGUGCUAACAAGGAGGAUUGUGCGCUUAUGCUUAAUUUGAUAUUAAGGGUUAACGUGAGAUAUUCGAUGUGUGGUUUAACAACUACCCUCCAAAAGAUGCAUAAGAAUACAAUAUUAAGAGACAAGCAAUCUUAUAACUCUCUUGACAAUGAGGAAUAUUGUCUCAGAGUGAUCGUAACUUGAGCCGAGUCGAAAGACUAAGAAUCCAACGACUCACAUGGUACUGAGCAUUGAGAGGGGAUAAAUACACUCUCAAUUUGAACGUACGACCAACCAGGGUGACUUGUCACUAUGCUUGAUUGAUUAUGUCACUAUUCAUCAAUAGUAACUAACCCUAACCAGCCUUAAACUCACUUAGACCACCUCUGCAGCAGGCCAGCCCAUGAUUCACAAUCACUUCAGCCUUAAACAUUGAGCUAAACCUCGGAUAAUGUUAGCUUACUCCUCUUCAACUCUAGCAUUUGGAUACAAAGAACGACUAUCUCAUUGGAUCUUCUGUUGAUGCUUAAAGGUUUGGCUAUAGAUUGGGAUAGGGACUGAUAGCCAUACUCUAAGAGCAUCUACAAUGCUAGUUCUUAGUUCUUAUCAUUAUUUAUGUGGGCCCGUACUGCCUCAUGUGCUUAAGCAACUCUUUGCAAAUUUUGCUCCAACCAUGAGUUCUUAAUUCUUAGUUCUUAACACUAUUCAUCCGAUCUCACAAUACCAUUAUAUUAAUAUUUUUUAUUUCUAUAUACUUUUGAUUUAAAUUUAAAUGCUAAAUCAAUACUUAAAUUAAAUGAAUGAGACAAAAAAAAAUAUUUUUUUAUGCUAAGAACUCAAAAAGUAAAUCAUCUUAGAGCAUUUCCAAUGCAAGAUUCUUAGUUCUUAUUUUUGAGUUAAGAACUAAGAACUGAGUUCUUAACCACUGGAGCGCAUGACGUGGAGUUCUUAGUUCUUAAAAAUAAGAACUAGGUUCUUAUAUAAGAGCAUCUCCAAUGCAAGGUUCUUAGUUCUUAUUUUUGAGUUAAGAACUAAGAACUGGGUUCUUAACCAUUGGAGGAGAUGACGUGGAGUUCUUAGUUCUUAAAAAUAAGAACUAGGUUCUUAUAUAAGAUGUUUUACUUUUUGAGUUCUUAGCAUGAAAAGUUAAUUUUUCUCUCUCAUUCAUCAAUUCAUUUAAUUUAGAUAUUGAAUUAGCAUUUAAAUUUAAAUCAAAAUUAUAUGAAAGUAAAAAAUAUUACUACUAUAAUGAUAUUGUGGGACCAAAUGAAUAGUGCUAAGAACUAAGAACUAAGAACUAAGAACUCAUGGUUGGAGCAAAAUGUGCAUAGAGUUGCUUAAGCACAUGUGGCAGUACGGGCCCACAUGAAUAGUGCUAAGAACUAAGAAAUAAGAACUAGCAUUGGAGAUGCUCUAAGAAGUUUUACUUUUUGAGUUCUUAGCAUAAAAAUUAAUUUUUUUUCUCUCAUUCAUUUAAUUUAAGUAUUGAAUUAGCAUUUAAAUUUAAAUCAAAAUUAUAUGAAAAUAAAAAAUAUUAAUAUAAUGGUAUUGUGGGACCAGAUGAAUAGUGCUAAGAACUAAAAACUCAUGGUUGGAGCAAAAUCUGCAAAAAGUUGCUUGUUGAAAGAUUUUUUACCACUCUACGUUUGAAUCUCUCAAGACUCAAUUGUAGUAUAGUAAAGGGUUUUGUCGUAUCCACAGGGAGGUGUAAUACUUAUGUCGUUCAAUAGCUAACAAACUCAAAUGAUGGUUAACAGAGAUAUUAGGGGUUUGUUUAAGAACAUGAAAAUAUAAAGAAAGCAGAUAAAGUAGUUGGAUUCACCAAGGUAGAUAGUUUUGCUGGGAUUAGAGUUUCGUUGUUUGACCUCUACGUAUUCUAUUGAUUCACAUACAAAUAUCGUUCUAUGCAAUUGAUUCCUUUCACCAUUUCUUAUCUUACUACCCAGUCCCCCGGUGUAGAAGAUUAUCAACUCCCUAUAUUAACCUUCAAUCCCUUGAUCGAUUAACAAUAGUGAGUAGCAUUAAGCAUGGAUGAUCUAACCCUAUCCCUAGACCUUAGAAUCAUUAGAUGAUUUUACCUAAUUCAAAUUUAAAUAGUUAGUUCUCACCAUCCUAUUAAAUCUAAAUUCAUGUUCUAGGUGAUCAAUCCAAAACAAGCAUGAAGCACAAGGUAAAAAUCAUUGAAUCAUGGAAAAGAAACAUAUGAUUAAUUCUAGUUCAGACUCAAGAUCACGUGAGUUCCCUACACAAGUUUGAAUCAAUCAAAAUACCCAAGGGGAUCAACCUAAGAUAUAACAUGAAGCAAAAGAGAAAACCAUUGAUUCUUUAGCAUAGAAACAAGAAAUUUGCAUGAAAGGAAAUCAAAUAGAUUACAUGAGCAUCAAAACAACUAGUUCUAAUCCCAACAAAUGAGAAAUUAGCUAUCCACUUCCAUGGAUAGCUUUACAAUGAUAAAAGAGAAGAAGAGCGAUGAAAAACCGACUCGUGACGGUUCCCUGGCGAUGAAAUCAGCUCCAAAGCUUUCUCUCUAGUCUCCUAGGUCACCCUUGAUGAUCUCCUUUGAGUUCUCCCUUUCCCCAAGUGAUGGGUUUGUGUAUUUAUCUCUGAUUUUCGUGAACUCCCUGUUUUGUGUUGAACUUUGAGUUUUAUAGCAUUGCAGAUCUGUUACAGGGUGCUUAGCACUCCACUUUAGGUGCUUAGCGCCCUGUUUCUUCAUGCUGAAGGAUUCCCCACCGUCAGAUGAUGCUUAGCAUUCCAUUUUAAACGCUUAGCACUCUGUUACUUCAUGCUGAAGGAGUGUCCAUUGCCAGAUGAUGCUUAGUACCCUUUGGCUGAUGCUUAGCACCUUUGGACCAAAAAAACUUGAAAACCCUCAUUACCUCACCAAAUCUUGCAUAUUUCUUUGGAUAUUCAUCCCUACAACAAAACCCAAAGAUUCAUCAUGAUUUAGAAUAUAUUUAAAGCAUAAUACUAGUAAAAUCUAAAUAUUUACAAACAUAUGAAAAUGGGGAUAUUUGAAUGAUAAUUCACAUGUUUAGAACAAAUAAGUGUCAAUUAUAAUAUGAUAAUUUAAGUAAAUUUGGCACUUAUCAACUCCCCCCAACUUAGCACUUUGUUUGUCCUCAAACAAAAGGUCAAGACUGUGAUCAAACAAGCAUGACUGAAACAUUUUCAAAGUUCAAAUUGCAAGAUUUCACACAUAUUGUAUGAAUGAUCCAAAAUAGAAACAUGAUACCCACAAGAGAAUGCAUAACAUUGAUACAAUUUCUUAUUCAACCUGGAACUCAAUAGGCAUACAGUCAAUUACUUUUGAUCAGGGAACACUCAAUCAAUCCAAGAUAUGGCAUGCAAAUCAGGCAAGGUCAGUGUUUCGCUCAUGUACAUCACUGAAUCACAUAAGUCAAGAUUGUUACCUGUCUCCACAAUCAUCAAAACUACAUGUGCAAUCAAGGAUCACUAAGGUCUUUACAAGGUUGUAAUGAGGCUAGGCUUCAAAGAGUUUGGUUUUUCAAGAUAUGCAAAGAAACUCAACAAGCUUAGAGAGCAAUCACAGCUUACUUUCAUGACAUUCACUGCCCUCAACUUGAUUUAAACCAA